rnacentral:sRNA from 1 species
AAUGAAGGUGACCUUCAUGGAAUGACUCCUCUCCAUCUGGCAGCAAAGAAUGGACAUGACAAAGUAGUUCAGCUUCUUCUGAAAAAAGGUGCAUUGUUUCUCAGUGACCACAAUGGCUGGACGGCUUUGCAUCAUGCGUCCAUGGGCGGGUACACUCAGACCAUGAAGGUCAUUCUUGAUACUAAUUUGAAGUGCACAGAUCGCCUGGAUGAAGAUGGGGUAUGUACAUGCUUACCCAAAAUCUUGAUAUAGCAGAAACUUCCAACAUUGCCAGAAAACUCUCCUAGACACCUUUUACCUUCCUUGCUCUAUUCCCAGCCUUUUGUUGGGUGUUUAGCAAGUGGAUUCUUGAGGUGAAGUAUGAAUCAAAAGGCAACAGAAUUGGGAGAAUACCAAGGGGUGGGUGAAUGUUGGGGAAACCUCCAGUCUCACAGAUCAGCAAGGUCCACAGGCCGUUGAAAUUUGAUGGUAAAGCGUUUACUCCCUGGUAGUUCCAGAGAAAUGAAGGCAGGGGUGAGUUUUCAUUAAGCUAAGUGUUAUUUUGAAGUGUCUUGAUUUGAAAUACUGCCCUUU